rnacentral:rRNA from 1 species
ACGAACGCUGGCGGCUGCUUAACACAUGCAAGUCGAACGGAGUGGCGAACGGGUGAGUAACGCGUGAGCAACCUGCCUAUGACAGUGGGAUAGCCUCGGGAAACAGGGAUUCAUACCGCAUAGUCAUAGAUGGGCUCGCUACUGAUUAGCUAGUUGGUGAGAUAACAGCCCACCAAGGCGACGAUCAGUAGCCGGUUUGAGAGGAUGAACGGCCACAUUUGAACUGAGACACGGUCCAAACUCUUACGGGAGGCAGCAGUGGGGAAUAUUGCACAAUGGGGGAAACCAUGAUGCAGCGACGCCUCGUGAACGAAGAAGGUAUUCGUAUCGUAAAGUUCUGUCCUAUGGGAAGCAGUACCAUAGAAGAAAGCUCCGGCUAACUACGUGCCAGCCGCCGCGGUAAUAC